GGACUACUGGGGUUUCUAAUCCUGUUUGCUCCCCACGCUUUCGCGCCUCAGUGUCAGUUACAGACCAGAAAGUCGCCUUCGCCACUGGUGUUCCUCCAUAUCUCUACGCAUUUCACCGCUACACAUGGAAUUCCACUUUCCUCUUCUGCACUCAAGUCUCCCAGUUUCCAAUGACCCUCCACGGUUGAGCCGUGGGCUUUCACAUCAGACUUAAGAAACCACCUGCGCGCGCUUUACGCCCAAUAAUUCCGGAUAACGCUUGCCACCUACGUAUUACCGCGGCUGCUGGCAC
rnacentral:rRNA from 1 species